UUAAACUGAAGAGUUUGAUCAUGGCUCAGAUUGAACGCUGGCGGCAGGCCUAACACAUGCAAGUCGAGCGGCAGCACGGGAAAGCUUGCUUUUCUGGUGGCGAGCGGCGGACGGGUGAGUAAUGCAUGGGAAUCUGCCCGAUAGUGGGGGACAACGUUUCGAAAGGAACGCUAAUACCGCAUACGUCCUACGGGAGAAAGCAGGCUUAGGCUUGCGCUAUCGGAUGAGCCCAUGUCGGAUUAGCUAGUUGGUGAGGUAAAGGCUCACCAAGGCGACGAUCCGUAAC
rnacentral:rRNA from 1 species